rnacentral:rRNA from 1 species
AUUUGUAAUCUGGCGUCUUCGACGUCCGAGUUGUAAUCUCGAGAAGUGUUUUCCGUGAUAGACCGCAUACAUGUCUCUUGGAACAGAGCGUCAUAGUGGUGAGAACCCAGUACACGAUGCGGAUGCCUAUUACUUUGUGAUACACUUUCGAAGAGUCGAGUUGUUUGGGAAUGCAGCUCAAAUUGGGUGGUAAAUUCCAUCUAAAGCUAAAUAUUGGCGAGAGACCGAUAGCGAACAAGUACCGUGAGGGAAAGAUGAAAAGCACUUUGGAAAGAGAGUUAACAGUACGUGAAAUUGUUGGAAGGGAAACACAUGCAGUGAUACUUGCUAUUCGGGGCAACUCGAUUGGCAGGCCCGCAUCAGUUUUUCGGGGCGGAAAAUCGUAGAGAGAAGGUAGCAGUUUCGGCUGUGUUAUAGCUCUUUACUGGAUUCGCCCUGGGGGACUGAGGAACGCAGCGUGCUUUUAGCAUGAGCUUCGGCUUAUCCACGCUUAGGAUGCGGGUUUAUGGCUGUAUAUGACCCGUCUU